UCUGGCCAUUUUUUAGGAUCCCUUUGAAUCUUGUGAAGGUUUAUGAUCAACCGAGUGCCUUUGGGGAUGUCGUAGCCUCCAAUGGAGCAAGUUUCACUGAGCUCACGAGGUGCUGACAGAGGUGCAGGUGGAUACAAUCUUAAUGUCUCUUUAACUAUGGCUUGAAUGUACACCAAUUUGCCGAUGUCUGUUUCAUUCACAAACCUAUCCUUGCCUAUAUGGGUGUCUAGUUCUUCUUGAGCCUUUUUGAGUAUAUGAGGUUUAUUUAACAUGAGGGAAAGACCCCAUAUUAAGGUAACUGUUGUUGUGUCACUGCCUGCUAAAAUCAUAUUCUGCAAUAUGCAUUUUUCAUAAUUUUUAGAAUUUUAGAAUUGAAUAAUGGAGAGAUAAGAAUUGAAAAAAGAACGAGUAAAAUGUUAUACCAAAGAAGUGGCUUUGUUGAUGGUGUCAGCAUCAUAUCCGGCAAGACUUGCACCUUUAAGAACGGAGUUCAUCACAUCCAUGAAAUCCUUCUCCUUUUUAUUUUCAUCCCAGCGUCCACUCUUCCUAUGGUCAUCUAGCCAUCCCCCGGAAAUUUCAUCCAACUCUUUAGCAGUUAUCUUCAUCCGCUUUUCAUAACCACCAAUAUCCAACCAUCGGAGGAAAGGGACUGCAUCUCCCAACACAAACAUCCCUGUCAAGUGAAAGAAAUCCCGUAGAGCCUUACGAUAUCUCAACACCUCUUUUUGGUCUUCCUCUGCGACAACACUGUACCUCUUACCAGCAACCGUCCUCAUAAUAACGUUCAAAGUCAAGUCUGAAAAGUGUUUUUUCAUCUCAACCAACACCUUACCCGAGCCAUCCUUUUUCUCGGCCCAAGUUUUAUAUAAUAGUUUCAUUGAGCCUUCUAUUUCCGAGACAAAAACUUUCUUGAGUUGAUCGAUCCUGUGAUUAGAUAGCACCUCCAACAUUGUUAUUUUGCGCAUUUCACGCCAGUAUUGUCCAUAAGGAGAGAACCCAAACAUGGCAUAGUUGUAACCCAAGUGUUCUGCGGCCGCAAAUUCGGAACGGGAGGAAACAUACAUAUCAUUGACGGUGAAGAUUUCCUUGGCCACCUCACUCGAAUUCACCACCAAGGCUGGAUGAACACCGAUCCGGAUCAUGUAGGCAGGUCCAUAUUUCUCUUCCAAGUCUCCUAAUGCUUCAUGAGGGGCCUUGGGUCCACCUAACAGCGGAAGGUGACCGAUUAUUGGCCAUGCACCGGCAGCUACAGGUGGAGCUUUCCCACCACUUCCUGAGCUAGGCUUUUUGAGCUUGGUGUACAGAAAGAGUAGCGUGAUGCCAAAGACUACUGCAUAACCAAAAGUGGAGAGAUCAAGAGGAUCCAUCUCUACUUAUUUUGAUAGGAAAAUGCAGAGAUCUUCUGAAGAAGUUGUUGAUGGGAAUGAAAUGCUUUUUGCACAUAUAAAUAUAGCUGGGAGGUGUGUAGUCGGUCAAGCUUGUCUUUUGGGAAAUUGAAUAUUUUUUUAGUUCUAUUUUAUUAAUAUUAAACAAAGCUCCGUCAUCAAUGUUUGAAUGAUUUUCACCUGCAUUCAGUGCAAUAAAAAAAAAUACAACAAAUUUAUUUGUGGAUAAGAAAAUAAAAAUAAGUCCCUCCCCAAUUAAUCGAGCCCAUCAUGAAAAAUGUAGUUACAUGUAUUGAAAACCUUAAACAAGCUAUUACACUAGAACUAGAACUCGAUUCUAUGUCUAUACUCUAUAUCAAUCUUUUUUAUGAUCAUUUGAAGUAAACUGAAAAUAAUUAAUAUAGUGAGCUAAAAGGGUUCUUCCAUUAGCCUCGAUAAUGACAACCAAAUUAAAGAUAUAAGUGUCUCUUUCUAGCUCUAUGUGUCCUCUGCACUCCAAUUGGUAGGUGGGGGGUCCUGUUUGGCGGCCAAUAAUUGGUAUAUUAGCUUCUUUCUAAUUUAACACCUUUUAAAUUCACAACGAUAAUUAUUUUGAAGUAACUGAGCACAAAAUUUUUAAGUUAAUUAAGUUUAUAAGUUUUAUUUUAUUAUUUUAAUUUAAUUUAAUUUUUUUUAAUUGAGCCGAGUAAAAUAAAAUUGAAUCGAGUUAAACCGAGUAAAAUUAUUCAAGUUAUAUUAAAAAACUAAACAAGUCAUAAUAAAAUAUUGUUAUAAUAUAACUAAUUCCAUAUUAGAUCAUAUAAAUUUAAAAACUCUUUAAAAGAAAAAUAAGAGAAAAAUAAAAUACUUUAGCAUUAUAACCUUGAAUCAUUAAUUUAUUUAUUUAGGUUCUAAAAUUAUUGUUUUAGAAUUUCUGUUAAUUUUAAUACAUUUUUUAAUUUUUAAUUUUUUAAAUAUAAAGUUUAGAAUUUUUAAAAAUAUUUAGAAUUUUAAAAAUUAUUUUGAAUUAUUUUAUAAUUUUUACUGAGAGUGAUCGAUUUGUUUAUUUUCAAAAUUAAUAGAGACUAAAUGAGAAUUUACACCAAUCUAUUAUUCGAGUUGUAAAAUUCUACUAGACUCGAACUCGAAACUCGAUUUAUUUAUUCAAGUUUACUUAUUCAGUUAACUCGAAAUUUAUAUAUAUUUUUUAAUUUUGAAUUAAAGUUUUACUCACCCAUAAUAAUAAUAAUAAUAUUAUUAUUAUUAUUAUUAGAAAAACGAAAUAGAGUAAAUAAACUAAAUUAAUCUUGUCAUUAGAUUAAUGCAUUAUUGCCCUAAGUUACUAUUUAAAAAAAUAAAUGAACAUAAGUUGGUAGACUUCUUGGCUUGUAGUCGUCACCCAUCACCCAUGUUGGCUAGAAUAUUUUUUUUUUCUUUUUGGCCUUUGAAAAUUCAGUGUAAGAAAUGAAAGUUAAAGAAGUAUUAGUUUGGAAAGAUCCACCUCAAUUUUAUGAUUUUUAAGAUUAAUGCCUUAGUACCCUAAAUUAAUAUCUACAGGUUCAAUUUAAAAGAAUAACCCUUAUCGAUGUUAGUAAUUUUUAAACAAAAUUAACAGAAAAAUUGAUUAUGAGCAAUUCAAAGGGUAGAGAGAGUAAUUUUGAGUAAAUAAAACUAAAAGGAUCAAAUCCACACAAAUCUAUAACUUUAAGGACUUUACUUAUGAUUUAACCAAAAAGUAAAUCAAUAGAAGUCGUUCUCGUCACUCGUCACUCAUCACCCUUGUGGAUUAAAUAUGACUAUCUCAUUUUUCCAAUAAUGAGAUUAAUGUUAAAAAAAAUUAUAUUUCAUAUAUUAAAAUUAAGAGGAGGGUAAAACCCUGCUAAUAAUGUGAUUCAAACUCAAGUCAUACUUGAGACGGUAAACACCUGACCAUCAAAACAACAACACAUGGGGUUCACUUUUUUUUUAAAAUUUUUAAAUUAAAGGAAAAUACAUUUAAAGGUACUCAAAUAGUUAAAUUCAUAUUUUUUUAAUUCUAAAACAACUGUGAAAAAUAUAAAAAAAUUAAAUUAAAUUAAUUGUCACUUAAUUAGGGUUAGGAAUAAAAUAGAAUAAAGUAAAAUUUGUUACAACUAUAGAUUGAAUAAUAAGAUAAGAUCGAAGAUGAUACCAAGGAUAAUAGAUUAAAGAAUAUCAAGAUUCAGAAUAUUUAAAUAUUUUGUAACGUUAUUAUUUAUUAUUUACUUAUGUUUAGAACUCUAGUCUUAUGAUUUUUAUUUUAAUUAUUUUUAGGAAGUUAAUUUUUUUAAAAAUUUGUGAUGUUGAAUUUAUUAUAUAUGAUAUGAUCUAAUUUGAAUAGUUGUUUCUCUUAUAAAAAAUAUUAUAAAAUUGAGAAAAUAUUAAGAUAAUAUCAUGACAAUUAGUUAAGUUGAUUUUGAACAAAAUUCAUAAAUUUCAAUGAUUUGGUUGCAAUUUUUAUUCGAUUUGAAUUUAAUAUUUAAUUAAAAAUGUUUUUAUUUGAUUCUAAAAUAUAAAAUAUAUUUAAAAUAAAAAAAUAUUAAAGAUAUUAGUUUUUAAUGCUAAAACGAAAAACAAUUAAAAUUAAUGUUUUGACAUUAAAAGUCAAAAGUUAAUUUGAUUAUUAAUACAUAAAAAUCAUAAUUAAUUUUAUAAAUCAAAUCAAAUUCUAAUAUCGCAAAACACAAUUUUCUACAAAUUAAUUAUUAUACUUAAAAUUUUCAAUGACCAAACGUGUUGAUGUAGUAACAUUUAUGUUUUUAUCCGUGGUUUUAAAAUUUGAUUGAACUAAUAGUAUUGAGAAUUAAUUGAAAUUGAAAUGAUUUUGGUUUUUAACUUAAUGAAAUAGAUUAAUGAUAAAUAUAGGAUUUAGAAAAAUUCAAAUUAUCUUUUCCUACUAUCUCAUUUCAUUUUAAAUAAUUUAAACCAAAUUCAUGUUUUAAGUGAAACAAUCUUGAGUCAAGCAGAUUCAGUGGCACAUGCCAUUGAGUUUGGUGGAGUGGCCAUGUAACUAAAUGUGAAAUAGUUUUGAGAAAAAAUAAUACAUGCAAGGCAUACGCUUCUAACUUUUAAUUAAUCAGGAAAAAUAAUAUAUAAAAUUUAUAUAUUCGACUCCCAACUCUUAACAUACUCAAGCAGGAUGAUGCUAACAUAUUAGACACGAGAAAUAGAAAUGCAUAGCACCAAGAUUUCAAUUUUCAACUUUAACUUUGACAACUAAGAUGUUCCCCGUUUACCAUCUCAACAUCACCAAAUUCUAGAUGUUUUACUAUACAAGUAUUUGUUUAUUUAUCAAUUUUACCAUUAUUGAUUAAAAUAUAUAUAAUCGAAACCACAUACUCGAAUUCAACAAUAGAAGAAUCAAAAUGCUUAAACAUUCUUCUUCUUCACACAUGAUUAUUGCAAUCUUCAUCUAGAUUUUAUUUAUAAACUUCAGGAGCAAGACGAGGUGAGACCAAUGCUUCAAGCGGGGUAGAUUUCAUGUUGGUCAAUCCAACAGUGCCGGAUAAGUCAAUCAAAUCAUUGGAUGGUGUUGAGAAAUCAAAUGCGUGCAAGAAAUUAGACAUGGUCAAGUACAACAUAUGGAGUGCACAAGAUGUUCCAGGACAGCUCCUCCUACCACUGCCAAAGGGCAUUAGUUCAAAAUGCUGACCCCUAACAUCCACAUCUUUAUGCGUAGUGAGAAACCUCUCAGGCUUAAACUCCAAUGGUUUUGGCAAUUUUUCAGUAUCCCUUUGAAUCUUGUGAAGGUUUAUGAUCAACCGAGUGCCUUUGGGGAUGUCUUAGCCUCCAAUGGAGCAAGUUUCACUGAGCUCACGAAGUGCUGACAGAGGUGCAGGUGGAUACAAUCUUAAUGUCUCUUUAACUAUGGCUUGUGUUGUGCGGAAGCGUGUGAAAGAGUAAAAUUAUUGUACUAAAAAAUCACACUAAGUUCAAUUCCCAGGAAAGAGAGGUGGAUCACGAGGAUCACUUAAGUACCAAGUCUUUCCUAGCCAGAAUAUCCCUCUAUCAUAAUUUAAUAGCACAAUAAAUCACUACAAUCACACUCACAAAAUAUGAACAAUAAAUAGUAAAGAACACCAGAAUUUUAACGAGGUUCAGCAAAUCUUGCUUACGUCCUCGGGCACUACCAAAUAUAUUUCACUCCAAAAUACAAGUGAAACUUUACAAAUAGGGAGAGAGAACAAUGCUUUAAGUAGAGAAUGACAAAUGUGGGAUGAUGAGAAUGAGCAAUGGUUGACCUAUUUAUAGUUGAGGUUCAAGGGCCACCUUGCAAAGUCCCUAUUCACUUAGGGACCAAAAAUUACUAUUAUUCCAUGCCCAACACUAAAUAAAUAUUUGGUGCCCAUAACUUUGACCUUUCCAAGGUAUAGGUAGGUAUGGGAAAGGUAUGGGCAAGGUAUGGGGUAUAUUCUAAUAAUCUCCACAUUGAAGAUUUGAUUAGGAUAAUCUUAUCUUCACACAAUUCUUUCUGCCUUUGACAACAAUACUUGAUAGUGCCUUCUUCAACUGUUAAACUUGCAGGAUAUUGAUCAAGUUCAAACAAUGUUCGAACUUGGUUGCUGUUACCAUCUAGGUCAUCAUAUCUGCGGGAUUAUCUGCAGUCUUGAUCUUCUGUAGACAAAAUUUCCCCUCUUCAAUAAUUUCCUACACAAAAUGGAAUCGUACGUCGAUAUGCUUUGUACGUGCAUGAUAGACUUGAUUCUUUGCUAAAUGAAUAGCACUUUGACUAUCACAAUACACGUUAAUAUGCUCUUGAACCAACCCCAAGGUUUUAGCCGUACCUUGUAACCAAAUAGCCUCCUUUACAGCCUCUGUUACAGCCAUGUACUCGGCUUCUGUAGUUGACAACGCAACUGUAGACUGUAAUGUAGACUUCCAACUUAUUGGUCCUCCAGCAAGUGUAAACACAUAACCGGUGGUUGAUCUUCGCUUGUCCAAAUCACCGGCAUAGUCAGAAUCAACGUACCCAAUAACACCUUUACCAAGUGUAUUAUCCUGCUUGAACAGUAAUCCAACAUCUAUGGUCUUCUGAAUAUACCGUAGGAUCCAUUUCACAGCUUGCCAAUGUCCUUUUCCAGGAUUAUGCAUAUACCUGCUCACUAUACUAACUACCUGUGAAAUGUCGGGUCUUGUACACACCAUUGCACAUCAAGCUACCCACUGUAUUAGAAUACGGAACUUGCAACAUGUAUUCUCGUUCCGUAUUCGUCGAAGGAGAUAGUUGUGCAGAAAGCUUGAAAUGAGAAGCCAACGGGGUACUUACAGGUUUUGUCUGCUCGUUCAUGCCAAACUGCUGUAGUACCUUCUUCAAAUACUGCUUCUGAGACAAGAUAACUCUAUCAUGAGCUCUAUCUCUCCAUAUUUCCAUGCUGAGAAUCUUUUUAACUUCUCCUAGAUCUUUCAUCUCAAACUCGAGAUUGAGUUGAGUCUUCAAUCUUUCAAUCUCAACUCUGCUCUUAGAUGCUAUUAGCAUAUCAUCAACAUGUAAGAGCAAGUAUAUGAAAGUUCCAUCUUGUAGCUUCUGAAAAUAUACACAAUGAUCAAAUUUUCUUCUUGUGUACCUCUGUCCUUUCAUGAACUGAUCAAAUCGCCUGUACCACUGCCUCGGAGAUUGCUUCAAUCCAUAAAGCGACUUUGUCAGUUUGCAAACCCAAUUUUCUUUUCCAGCAACCUUGAAUCCAUCUGGCUGAGUCAUAUAGAUUUCCUCUUCCAAAUCACCAUGUAAAAACGUGGUCUUCACAUCAAGCUGAACUAGUUCAAGAUCAUAUUGCGCAACCAAGGCUAGCAAAAUCCGAAUAGACGAAUGCUUCACAACUGGAGAAAACACUUCAUUGUAGUCUAUUCCUUCUUUCUAAGCGUAACCCUUUGCUACUAAUCUAGCCUUGUAUCGAAUUUCAAUUUUACUAGGAAAUCCUUCCUUCUUUGCAUAUACCCAUUUGCAUCCAAUUGCCUUCUUUCCCUUGGGCCGUGUCACCAACUCCCAGGUCCUAUUUUUAUGAAGAGACUGCAUUUCUUCAUUUAUUGCUUGCUUCCACUUUACACCAUCAGGGUUACUUAUUGCUUCUGUGUAAGUAGAAGGAACAUCAUCAUCUGCAAUUGGAAGUGCAUAGGCCACUAUAUCAUCAAAGCGAGCAGGCUUACGAAUCUCUCUUCUUAGCCUCCUAUAUGCAAUUGAAUCUUGUUGCUGUAGAGGUUCUUGGGUAGGAACCUCUUCAUCAUUUGUCCCUCCAAUAUUAGCUGGAUCAUCGUUAACCUUUUCAAGCUCCACCUGCUGCAAAGUACUACUGGUUUUGUCAUCCUUUUGUGAAUCCUUGUACUUUAACAUGGUUGAUUCAUCAAAAGUCACAUAUCUACUGAAAACAAUCUUCCUUGUAUCAGGACACCAGAGACGGUAUCCUUUUACUCCAUCAGUUAUACCCAAGAAUAAUGCUUUCUUUGCUCUUGGGUCUAACUUAGAUUCUUUUACAUGAUAAUAUGCAGUGGAACCAAAUACAUGUAAAGAAUCAUAAUCAGUAGCAGAUUUAUCAGUCCACAUCUCCAUAGGAGUUUUUCUAUUUAUUGCAACUGAUGGCAAACGGUUAAUUAGAUAGCACACAUAUGUAACUGCCUCAGCCCAAAAUUCCUUGCCCAAUCCAGCAUUGGACAACAUACAUCGAACUUUCUCCAGUAUAGUUCGAUUCAUGCGUUCUGCCACCCCAUUCUGCUGUGGUGUAUCCCGAACAGUGAAGUGUCGUACAAUGUCCUCAUCUUGGCAUACUUGUAGAAAUGGAUCGUUUUUGUACUCAGUACCAUUAUCUGAUCGAAGUCGUUUGACCUUUCGACCAGUCUAAGUCUCCACUAUCUUCUUCCAUUUCAGAAAUGCAUCCAAAACUUUACUUUUUCUUUUCAUUAGAUACACCCAUACUUUUCUUGAAUGAUCAUCAACAAAAGUAACAAAAUAGUACAUACCUCCCAAAGAAGCCACUUUGGUAGAUCCCCACACAUCACUGUGAAUGUAGUCCAGAAUUCCUUUCGUAUUGUGAAUUGCUGGACCAAAUUUUACCCUCUUCUGCUUGCCCAGAACACAAUGUUCACAGAAUUCCAUUUUGCAAGAAUUUGCACCUUUCAACAAGCCUUGCUUCGCCAAUGUUUGCAAAGCUUUUUCACCAGCAUGUCCCAAUCGCAUAUGCCAUAAUCUGGUAGCCUCUGAAUCUACAUCUUUUGUAGAAACUGUUGAUGUUGAUCCAAUAACUGUACUUCUAUUUAAAAAGUACAAGUUAUUUCUUCUUGUGCCUUUCAUCACCGUCAGUUGCCCAGCUACUACUUUUAGUAAUCCAUCUCUCAAAGUGAUUGUGAGCCCUUUAGAUUCUAGGGCCCCUAAUGAGAUGAGAUUUUUCUUCAGGCUAGGUACGUAGCGAACAUCUAUCAAGACUUGGGUUGAGCCGUCGUGAUUCUUCAAUUGGACUGUACCUACUCCCAUUGUCUUACAAGCACUAUCAUUGCCCAUAAGAACAAUUCCAUCUUCUAGCUCUUUAAGACUAGAAAACCAGUCCUUAUUAGGACACAUAUGGUAAGUACAUCCUGAAUCCAAAAUCCACUCAUCCGUUUGACAUGCCAUUGCCAUGCCAACCAAGCUAAAGUCUGACUCCUCAUCAUGAUCCGCUACACAUGCAUUAGAAAUAGCCUUGCCCUUUUGUAGCUUAGGACAAUUCUUUUUCCAAUGCCCUUUUUCACGGCAAAAGGCACAUUCUUCUUUGGCGGGUCUCCCUUUAGACUUUCCCCUUCUACCAGAUUUACUGCUGUAUGAACGACCUCUUACUGUUAAGACUUCUGCAGUUGUAUCUCUGUGAUCUCUUUUAUCUUUCUUUCGAGUCUCAGAUCUAUACAACGCACUACAGACUGCAUCAAAUGUGAUCGUGUCCUUCCCAUGAAGCAAUGUGGUGGUAAGAUGAUCAUAUUCAUCAGGAAGGGAAUUCAACAACAAUAAUGCAUUGUCUUCAUCUUCAAAUUUCUCAUCCAAAUUUAGCAAGUCUGCUAAAAUUUUAUUGAAUGAGUUCACAUGGUCAUUUAUCGACAUACCGGGUGCAUACGUGAAUCGAUAAAGUUUCUUUUUUCAUAUAAAGCCUAUUUUCAAGACUUUUCGUUAGAAACUUUUCUUCCAGUGUAUCCCAUAACUUCUUCGCUGAUGUCUCCCUCAUGACAGAGUACUUCUGCUCUUUGGCCAAACAUAGGCGGAUUGUACCACACGUCUGUCUAUUGAUCUUGGCCCACUCCUUAUCAUCCAUCUUGUCAGGUUUUUCUUCAAGGGCUAUAUCUAGCUCUUGCUGACAUAAGACAUCCAGGAUCUCACAUUGCCACAUACCAAAAUUAUUGGUACCGUCAAAUUUCUCUACUUCAAAUUUUGCAUUUGUCACAGUAGUCCUUACUGAUGACGAUGCUGUGCCAUUUUUCUCCUCAAUCCCAACUACUGUAUACGUGAACAGUACCAUAUAUGUGAAUAGUAUCGUAUACGUGAAUAGUAUCAUAAACGGUCAUAUUCCCUAAGUACGAAUCUGGCUUUGAUACCAAUUGUUGUGCGGAAGCAUGUGAAAGAGUAAAAUUAUUGUACUAAAAAAUCACACUAAGUUCAAUUCCCAGGAAAGAGAGGUGGAUCACGAGGAUCACUUAAGUACCAAGUCUUUCCUAGCCAGAAUAUCCCUCUAUCGUAAUUUAAUAGCACAAUAAAUCACUACAAUCACACUUACAAAAUAUGAACAAUAAAUAGUAAAGAACACUAGAAUUUUAACGAGGUUCAGCAAAUCUUGCUUACGUCCUCAGGCACUACCAAAUAUAUUUCACUCCAAAAUACAAGUGAAAGUUUACAAAUAGGGAGAGAGAACAAUGCCUUAAGUAGAGAAUGGAAAAUGUGGGAUGAUGAGAAUGAGCAAUGGUUGGCCUAUUUAUAGUUGAGGUUCAAGGGCCACCUUGCAAAGUCCCUAUUCACUUAGGGACCAAAAAUUGCUAUUAUUCCAUGCCCAACACUAAAUAAAUAUUUGGUGCCCAUAACUUUGACCUUUCCAAGGUAUGGGUAGGUAUGGGAAAGGUAUGAGCAAGGUAUGGGGUAUAUUCUAAUAGCUUGAAUGUACACAAAUUUGCUAAUGUCUGCUUCAUUCACAAACCUAUCCUUGCUUAUAUGGGUGUCUAGUUCUUCUUGAGCCUUUUUGAGUAUAUGAGGUUUGUUUAGCAUAAGGGAAAGACCCCAUAUUAAGGUAAC
rnacentral:lncRNA from 1 species